UGGGGAAUAUUGCACAAUGGGCGAAAGCCUGAUGCAGCGACGCCGCGUGAGGGAUGAAGGCCUUCGGGUUGUAAACCUCUUUCAUCGCCGAAGAAGCGAGAGUGACGGUAGGCGAAGAAGAAGCACCGGCUAACUACGUGCCAGCAGCCGCGGUAAUACGUAGGGUGCGAGCGUUGUCCGGAAUUAUUGGGCGUAAAGAGCUUGUAGGCGGUUUGUCGCGUCUGCUGUGAAAAUCUGGGGCUUAACUCCGGACGUGCAGUGGGUACGGGCAGACUAGAGUGUGGUAGGGGAGACUGGAAUUCCUGGUGUAGCGGUGAAAUGCGCAGAUAUCAGGAGGAACACCGAUGGCGAAGGCAGGUCUCUGGGCCAUAACUGACGCUGAGAAGCGAAAGCAUGGGUAGCGAACA
rnacentral:rRNA from 1 species